CAAUAGCGUAUAUUAAAGUUGUUGCAGUUAAAAAGCUCGUAGUUGGAUCUCGGGGUGGCCUGGCUGGUCCGCCGCAAGGUGAGUACUGGUCAGCCGCCCUUCCUCUCGAAAGCCCCGACUGCUCUUUACUGCAGUGGUCGGGUAGUUCGGGACGUUUACUUUGAAAAAAUUAGAGUGUUCAAGGCAGGCUAUCGCCUGAAUACAUUAGCAUGGAAUAAUGGAAGAGGACCUCGGUCCUAUUUUGUUGGUUUCUAGGGCCGAAGUAAUGAUUAAGAGGGACAGUUGGGGGCAUUCGUAUUUAAUUGUCAGAGGUGAAAUUCUUGGAUUUAUGAAAGACGAACUAGUGCGAAAGCAUUUGCCAAGGAUGUUUUCAUUAA
rnacentral:rRNA from 1 species